UUUCAUUUCCGCAUUUAGUAAUUUAAAUAAUUAAAUGGUUUAGUUAAAUGAUCACUAUUACUGUUUGAAGGUUCGUGAACUGGUUUGAGUUGAUGUUUUCCUAUGAUGCUUGCAAUUGGAGAUUUAUGGAUGUUUGGUUUUGGAUUUACGUAUUUAUGCAUUGUGGUUUUCUAUCCCUCAAGAUAGUCGGUUUUCAAAAUGGAGUUUCCGAAUGGAAAAUAGUUUUAAAAGAUUUUCGAAUGGUUUUUAUGAAUGAUAAAAUAAGAGUUUAAAAAUAAAGCUUUCGAGUAGGGAGCACUUUUAAAUAGGAUGACUGUUGUACUGUGCAUCGCAUCAUCCAGCCUCUAAGGAGUGUUUAGAGGCAUCCAUCAUCUCUAAGGAUCGCUAGCUAUAUGAAAAUGUAUCACAUGAAUUGUUUGUGAAUUGCUAAAUGUAGAUUGUGGUUGUGAUCCUGAUGUUGUUGUUGGUACGCCAUGCAAAUACAAAUGAGACUCUGUCCGUGUGGCC
rnacentral:lncRNA from 1 species